GCCUGGCUGGCUCAGUUGGUAGAGCAUGCAACUCUUGAUCUCAGGGUUGUGAGUUUGAGCCCCAUGUUAGGUA
rnacentral:tRNA from 1 species